rnacentral:rRNA from 1 species
UACGUAGGGUGCAAGCGUUGUUCGGAUUCAUUGGGCGUAAAGGGCGCGUAGGCGGCCAGCACAAGUCAGUUGUGAAAUCUCCGAGCUUAACUCGGAAAGGUCAACUGAUACUGUGCGGCUAGAGUGCGGAAGGGGCAACUGGAAUUCUUGGUGUAGCGGUGAAAUGCGUAGAUAUCAAGAGGAACACCUGCGGCGAAGGCGGGUUGCUGGGCCGACACUGACGCUGAGGCGCGAAAGCCAGGGGAGCGAACGGG